AAAAAGAUAAGCUAACUAAGCUACUGGGCUCAUACCCCAUCAAUAAAGGUCCACCCCUUUUCUUUUUA
rnacentral:tRNA from 1 species